UACCACGUGCAUGUGCUGACAGGGACUCAAAGACACAGAGCUCUUGGCUCAGACAGAACUAAACACAUCUGUGCAGCGGAGCCCAUGCCUCAUGCCGCUCUCCAGCCUGCUCGGGGUCUUCCUGGCCCUCAUCUUCUCGGGAUCAGGAGUGGCCCAGACAGUUACUCAAGACCAGCCAGCAGUAUCCUCUCACGUAGGGGAGUCAGCCACCCUGAACUGUCGGUAUGAAACAAGUUAUAGCACAUACUAUAUUGUUUGGUACAAGCAGCCUCCCAGUGGAGAGAUGACUUUCCUUAUUGAACAGGAUUCAUCUAGUGAGAAUGCCAAGAGUGGCCGCUACUCUGUAAACUUCUGGAAAGCUGAAAAAUCCCUCAGCCUCACCAUCUCAAACUUACAGCUGGAGGAUUCUGCAAAAUACUUCUGUGCUUUCGAUGGAAGCACAGUGCUUGAAGUAAUAGGACGAGCUGAACAAAAACCCCAGAGCUCAAAAAGAGAGAGCUCUCUGCUGCAGGAGCCAAGCCGAGAUGCACACCUGCAGCCCCCCAGACAAGACACGGCAGCCGUGUGGGUGUGUGGUCUGCGGUCCGGAUCAGAAGACUGA